rnacentral:lncRNA from 10 species
AGUAAGCUAGGGGACUGGGAUUUCUCUGAUUAAAUACUUAAUGUUAUCAGCACAUGGUCUAGGUGCAGGCAAACUACCAUGCAUUAGCCAGUCUGGCCCACUACCUGUUUUCAGGAAUAAAACUUUGUUGGAAUACAGUUACAUGCUUUGUUAAUAUACUGUGUAUGGUUACUUUCAUGCUACAUCAGAGUUCAAUAGAUGUGACAGAGACCACCUGGCCUGCAAAACCAGAAAUAUUUCCUAGCUGGCCCUUUAUAGGAAACAUUUACUGACCACGGACUUAUACUAUUGUUAUGCUAGCUCUC